rnacentral:rRNA from 1 species
AGUGAACGCUGGCGGUAGGCCUAACGCAUGCAAGUCGAACGGCAGCACAGUAAGAGCUUGCUCUUACGGGUGGCGAGUGGCGGACGGGUGAGGAAUACAUCGGAAUCUACUUUUUCGUGGGGGAUAACGUAGGGAAACUUACGCUAAUACCGCAUACGACCUACGGGUGAAAGCAGGGGAUCUUCGGACCUUGCGCGAUUGAAUGAGCCGAUGUCGGAUUAGCUAGUUGGCGGGGUAAAGGCCCACCAAGGCGACGAUCCGUGGCUGGUCUGAUAGGAUGAUCAGCCACACUGGAACUGAGACACGGUCCAGACUCCUACGGGAGGCAGCAGUGGGGAAUAUUGGACAAUGGGCGCAAGCCUGAUCCAGCCAUACCGCGUGGGUGAAGAAGGCCUUCGGGUUGUAAAGCCCUUUUGUUGGGAAAGAAAAGCAGCAGGUUAAUACCCCGCUGUUCUGACGGUACCCAAAGAAUAAGCACCGGCUAACUUCGUG